rnacentral:rRNA from 1 species
CCUACGGGGGUCAGCAGUGAGGAAUAUUGGUCAAUGGGCGUAAGCCUGAACCAGCCAAGUCGCGUGAGGGCUGAAUGUCCUAUGGAUUGUAAACUUCUUUUAUAAGGGAAUAAAGUGUGGCACGUGUCCAGUUUUGUAUGUACUUUAUGAAUAAGGAUCGGCUAACUCCGUGCCAGCAGCCGCGGUAAUACGGAGGAUACGAGCGUUAUCCGGAUUUAUGGGGUUUAAAGGGCGCGUAGGGGGGUUUCUAAGUCAGCUGUGAAAGUCUGUGGCUCAACCGUAAAAUUGCAAUUGAAACUGGCAGGCUUGAGUACAGUUGAGGCAGGCGGAAUGCGUGGUGUAGCGGUGAAAUGCUUAGAUAUCACGAAGAACCCCGAUUGCGAAGGCAGCCUACUAAGCUGUGACUGACGCUGAUGCUCGAAAGCGUGGGGAUCAAACAGGAUUAGAUACCCUGGUAGUC